rnacentral:rRNA from 1 species
AUUUGGCGGACGGGUGAGUAACGCGUGGGAAUCUACCUUUUGCUACGGAAUAACUCAGGGAAACUUGUGCUAAUACCGUAUGUGCCCUUCGGGGGAAAGAUUUAUCGGCAAAGGAUGAGCCCGCGUUGGAUUAGCUAGUUGGUGGGGUAAAGGCCUACCAAGGCGACGAUCCAUAGCUGGUCUGAGAGGAUGAUCAGCCACACUGGGACUGAGACACGGCCCAGACUCCUACGGGAGGCAGCAGUGGGGAAUAUUGGACAAUGGGCGAAAGCCUGAUCCAGCCAUGCCGCGUGAGUGAUGAAGGCCCUAGGGUUGUAAAGCUCUUUCACCGGUGAAGAUAAUGACGGUAACCGGAGAAGAAGCCCCGGCUAACUUCGUGCCAGCAGCCGCGGUAAUAAUC